rnacentral:rRNA from 1 species
UACGUAGGGGGCUAGCGUUGUCCGGAAUCAUUGGGCGUAAAGCGCGCGUAGGCGGCCCGGUAAGUCCGUUGUGAAAGUCAAAGGCUCAACCUUUGAAAGCCGAUGGAUACUGCCGGGCUGGAGUCCGGAAGAGGCGAGUGGAAUUCCUGGUGUAGCGGUGGAAUGCGCAGAUAUCAGGAGGAACACCAAUAGCGAAGGCAGCUCGCUGGGACGGUACUGACGCUGAGGAGCGAAAGCAUGGGGAGCGAACAGG